UAAAGUCAUUUUUAAUUUUAUAAACUUAUAAAAGCCGUUACAUUUUGUUUCUUUUUGAUGAUUAUGGCGCUGACUAUGUUUGUUGGUAUCCAUAUGGGAAAGUUGGACUAAUAAUAAAGGUAUAAUUUGCCUAUAGGAACUUCAUCUGACUGAAUAAAACACAAGUUGUAAUUUCCAACCAGCCACUUCUUCAGCCUACAUCUACUGAUGUCAGAGAGAGCAGAGGGCAAGAGGGCUAAAGAAACCUACGGUUUUCUUAAAAUUUCUUAAGAAACGUAAACAUAUUGAUUUAAUAGAUUCUAUUUAACAAUCAACAUGAUUACAGAUAUGCAAAUAGCUGUUUUAUAUAACAUUCUAGGCAUGUCUAUAUUCGUUCUGGUGAUAUUUUAUCAUUAUGUCAACGCUAAUAGCUACUGGUAAAAAAAUCCAAACUUAAAAAACGCGCACUUGGCCAUGUAUUAUUUAAUGAAAACGGCGUUUUCUUUUGAUUCAGAUUGGUCUCACGAGUCGCCUAUACCAAGAGGUUAUUAAUGCUUAAUUAUUAAGAUGUUAAUAAAUUAAGGUUUUUAAAACUA